CUACUCGACUCCUACGGGAGGCAGCAUGGGGAAUAUUGCACAAUGGGGGAAACCCUGAUGCAGCCAUGCCGCGUGUGUGAAGAAGGCCUUCGGGUUGUAAAGCACUUUCAGUAGGGAGGAAGGUAGUGUAGUUAACACCUGCACUAUUUGACGUUACCUACAGAAGAAGCACCGGCUAACUCCGUGCCAGCAGCCGCGGUAAUACGGAGGGUGCGAGCGUUAAUCGGAAUUACUGGGCGUAAAGCGCAUGCAGGCGGCCUGUUAAGUCAGAUGUGAAAGCCCCGGGGCUUAACCUCGGAAUUGCAUUUGAAACUGGCAGGCUAGAGUCUUGUAGAGGGGGUAGAAUUUCAGGUGUAGCGGUGAAAUGCGUAGAGAUCUGAAGGAAUACCAGUGGCGAAGGCGGCCCCCUGGACAAAGACUGACGCUCAGAUGCGAAAGCGUGGGGAGCAAACAGGAUUAGAUACCCUGGUAG
rnacentral:rRNA from 1 species